CUCCAAGCAUAAGCGAAGCUCACUAACAGAACCUUCUUAAGAGGAGGUUCAGGUCAGGAAACAUUAACUAAGAGUUCAAAAGGAUAGAUUAGAGCCAUGACCACCCAGUUCAAGUUUCAUAUAGGAAUGCUGUGGACUUCUCCAUGUGUUGUACAGUGUUGUACACUGUGCAUUUCCCCACCUUCCCUGCGACUAAAGGUGCGUCUUGUGGUCUGGUGCAUCUUGUAGAGCGAAAAAUAAGGGUUUUUAAUUAGUUCCUCCUAUUCAUUACCUGGGGUGUGUGGAAAAUUGUGACGCUCAGUCAUACAGAAACUGCCUGACUACGGUAAAUGAAACAAUGAUGGGAACAUCACUCCAGGAUUCUGUUCUCCCAGGGAGUUGCUCAUUUUAGUCAGUUACGGUACUUGGAAGAAGGCAGACAGCCAAACUGCAAACACAAUGACUGGAUUGAGUUCUUAAGCAAAUACACAAGAAUGGCAUUCAAUCUCUUACAAGAGGAAUAUAAUUUUCAUCAUAAGUGUAACAAGAAACCUGGUCUAAAGCAAAGAGGCUGUUCCUUCCUUCUUGCUGGAAGCCACCUGACCACUGCCAGGAAGAGGAAUGCAAAACAUUCCCAGGAGCAGCUCCUGACGUCAGCAGAGCAUUUCAUCUCCCAAUGUUCAGAACGGUCUGGAAAUUCCAGUCUCUAGUAGAACUAAUUGAAUGCGAUAGCAGCAGCUGUAGCCUGCAAUGAAUCACAUUAAAAACUGCUUCAUGUUAAGAUUAUUGAUGGUGGUAUGAACUGCUCAAAACAAACACAAAUCUGAUUAUUUUCCUAUUGAACUAAUGCACACUGUGAUUGUGUCUACCUUGUUUGUUGUUACUUUUAUCAGAUCCUUGAAACUUGAGUAGUUGCCCUUAGAAAAUUAAAUACAUACAUAAAAGGA